GUCUUUUUGAAAUAUAAUUUAAAGUCUAAUCUGCCCACUGAUUAAUAUUAAAGGGCUGCAGUAUUAUGACUGUACAAAGGUAGCAUAAUCAUUAGUUUUUUAAUUGAAAACUUGUAUGAAAGAUUUGAUGAAAUAUUAACUGUCUCUUAUUUUUUAUUAGAACUUUAUUUUUUAGUAAAAAAGCUAAAAUGAUUUUAAAAGACGAGAAGACCCUAUAGAGUUUUAUAUUUAAUUUUAUUUUAAAUUUAUAUAAAAAUUAAUAUUAAAAUAAAAUUAAUUAUUGUAUUGGGGUGAUAGAAAAAUUAAAAUAACUUUUUUUAAAUAGUAAACAUAAAUAAAUGAUUAAAUGAUCCAUUAUUAAUGAUUAUAAGAAAAAAUUACCUUAGG
rnacentral:rRNA from 1 species